rnacentral:rRNA from 1 species
CCUACGGGCGGCAGCAGUGGGGAAUAUUGCACAAUGGGCGCAAGCCUGAUGCUGCCAUGCCGCGUGUGUGAAGAAGGCCUUCGGGUUGUAAAGCACUUUCAGCGGGGAGGAAGGCGGUGAGGUUAAUAACCUCAUCGAUUGACGUUACCCGCAGAAGAAGCACCGGCUAACUCCGUGCCAGCAGCCGCGGUAAUACGGAGGGUGCAAGCGUUAAUCGGAAUUACUGGGCGUAAAGCGCACGCAGGCGGUCUGUCAAGUCGGAUGUGAAAUCCCCGGGCUCAACCUGGGAACUGCAUUCGAAACUGGCAGGCUAGAGUCUUGUAGAGGGGGGUAGAAUUCCAGGUGUAGCGGUGAAAUGCGUAGAGAUCUGGAGGAAUACCGGUGGCGAAGGCGGCCCCCUGGACAAAGACUGACGCUCAGGUGCGAAAGCGUGGGGAGCAAACAGGAUUAGAUACCCGGGUAGUC